rnacentral:rRNA from 1 species
CCUACGGGAGGCAGCAGUGGGGAAUAUUGCACAAUGGGGGAAACCCUGAUGCAGCAACGCCGCGUGAGUGAAGAAGGUUUUCGGAUUGUAAAGCUCUGUUAGCAGGGAAGAGGAAGGACGGUACCCGAAGAAAAAGCAUCGGCUAACUCCGUGCCAGCAGCCGCGGUAAUACGGAGGAUGCGAGCGUUAUCCGGAUUUAUUGGGUUUAAAGGGUGCGUAGGCGGACAGUCAAGUCAGCGGUAAAAAUGCGGUGCUCAACGCCGUACAGCCGUUGAAACUGGCAGUCUUGAGUGGGCGAGAAGUAUGCGGAAUGCGUGGUGUAGCGGUGAAAUGCAGAGAUAUCACGCAGAACUCCGAUUGCGAAGGCAGCAUACCGGCGCUCAACUGACGGUCAUGCACGAAAGCGUGGGUAUCGAACAGGAUUAGAUACCCGGGUAGUC